rnacentral:ncRNA from 1 species
UUGUUCUGGUGUCGUGAAUAACAUCCUUCCGGAUGGACUUCAUGGCAUGUCCAGGCAGCAAUGAAUGGGUUCGUUCUGAGAUUAUACGGCUAAAACUUGAUCUGGAUAAUACCAGCGAAAGGAAUCAUGUCUUCCCUUAC